UCCUUCCUCGCAUUUCCUGAAUGUUCCGUGUCUCUCAGACAAAUCAACAAAAAUGUAACAGCAACAGUAGUUUGUUGUACAAUCAUAAAUACAAGAAGAUCCGUACGAUGGCAACACAUCACACCGCCAUCCCCAUCAAGCCAGGGGAAAUGGCCUCGAGCGACUUCUACCGGGAUAAGUACGCACAUUUUAGCAUCCACGAAGAAACACUCAAGGAUCAAGUACGAACGCUGGCCUACCGAAACGCUAUAUUGCAGAAUAUUCACCUUUUCAAGGGUAAAACCGUCCUGGAUAUCCGCUGCGGUAUGGGCCUAAUGUCGAUGAUGGCUGCUCGUGCCGGCGCAGCCCGAGUGAUCGGUGUCGAUUGCUCCAACGUGAUCGAUCACGCCCGUGAGAUUGUAAAAGCGAACCGCCUUGGUCACGUGAUCACACUGAUUAAGGGAAAGAUGGAGGCAAUUGAGCUUCCUGGUUGUAUUAAACAGGUGGACAUAAUCAUUUCCGACUGGAUGGGUCAGUGCUUGUUCAAUGGAGCAAUACUGAGCACGGUGAUCUAUGCGCGCAAUAAGUGGCUUAAACCGAAGGUGGGAAUCAUGUUCCCGGAUCGCUGCUCGCUGUUUGUGGCCGCCAUCGAGGAACGUGAGCGAAAGGAUGAAAAAAUCAACUGGUGGGAUGAUGUGUACGGAUUUGACAUGAGUGCGAUUCGCAAAGAUGCCAUCAACGAACCGCAGGUGAAUGAGGUCGAUCCCGGGCAAAUCGUAACCAAUUCCUACCUGAUCAAGGAGAUCAACAUGUAUACAGUGGUCUGGCAGGAUUGCAACUUUGUGUCCCCUUUUCAUCUGAAGGCAAUGCGAAACGAUUUUGUCCAGGCACUGGUGACCUAUUUCAACGUGGAGUUCACCAAGUGUCAGGGACGGUUGGCCGUCAGCACCUCGCCCGAUUCCCCCUUCACUCACUGGAAGCAGACUGUGUUCUUUCUGGACGAGUUUUUGACGGUCAAGAACGGAGAGGAGAUCCAUGGUACGUUUGCGAUAAAACUGAAUGGCCGGAAGCAAAACCGGGAGCUGGAGAUCGACAUAGAUGUGCGCUUCGAAGGGGAGCUGUCGCAGGUGACCGAGAGUAAUCACUACCGAAUGCGGUCGUAGCAGGUAUGUUCGAGAGGUGGAUACAUUCGGCAUAAUGUUAAUGUUGCCUGAUUAUGAACUAUACACUGAAGAAGUAUGCAUAGGUAUUCCACACUGGACACCAAACGUCGCAAAAAAGUAUGUUCAGGUUUAUUUUUGAACAAUUGCGCCUAUUUGCGGUUUACACAAAUACCGUUUUUUUCUCGAAAUUCUCAUGAUAGUUUUGAAAGAUGAUUACUGUUGCCCGUUCACCUCUUGACCUCCAUUCACCGCUAUUUUUUUUUUUCAAAAUUUGUUGAUAAAUUUCACAAAAUAAGUUUUCUACUUUUUUCCGACUAAUUCUGAUAAUGAUUUGUAACGUUAUUGCGCUGAUUAUUGUCGUAAAAAUUACUUUUGUUUACAUCCAUAUGAGUGGUGAUUGGAGACCCAGCCUCAAUUGAGGGUUCCGUUUACAGCCCACUAUACAAAUAAACAUAAAAUAGUCAUUGCCAGCAAAAUUUCAUAAGGAACGCGACAGUACAAUCAACAUAUUAAACCUCGACAACUUUCAACCCAUGCCUA